CAUAAUAGAAGCCUAAAUAUACUCCACAACCUCAACUAAAUCCCAACAAAAACCGCAACCCAAAGUGCACCUUGCCCCUUGGUCCUAAGCCACUUCCUCACCCUAACUGUAGCGAAACUUUGAGGAUGCAACCUCACUUCCUUGGUAUUAGAACCCAGCGAAACUGGGUGCCCUUCUGAAGCUGUCUCCCGUCCUGACCCCUUGGAGGGAGACAGAGAAGAGGGGAGGACGAGCUGUUGCCAUUUUCCCGCUUUCUGAAGGUCUAACGACAGAAAGGACCGCAAUCCGAGCCUUUUCCGACCUUGGCUCGGCUCUGGCCGCAGAGGUUUCCAGCUAAUGUUCAGGAGGAACCCACAUGUGAGAGAGGCAGCCCAGUGCCCACCCUGGACGUCAGCGCCAGCUGUGACCUCUCAUGGGCAGUGCUUCCCCUCGCGCUCAGGGUAUGUAAGGGCCCUGCUUGGACAGGGGCAGGCUGUGAGGUGUCAGAGCUCUGUCCCGCCGCCCCACCACCCCGCAGCCCCCACUUCAUGGCUGGAGGUACAGCAAACAUGGCGGCCUGCUAGGGUACAGAUUGUUUUGGACUAACUUGGCUUGGAGCCCAGCCCCGAGCGCUCAGGUGCACAGAGUUUUGUGCCUGCCUCGCUCAGAAAGGAUCAUCAGUGUGAAGUGGAAACCCAUGUUAGCAUUAGCCUAGUGGGACAAAGUCAGCCAAGGCUAGGACAGUCACAGAGGGCUUGGGGUGGGGUCAGCUUUCCUCUACACCGAGGCACAGAGGACCACACAAGACACGACGCUGUCUCAGAGAGGCAGGGUGGAAGAAAAGCCCGGGCCUCUGACUCUGCUGCUCACUCGUCUCUCCCCAGCGCCACCUCUCCCAUUUUGGAAACCUGGUCCGAAUGGCACCAUCCACCGGACAUUCCCCAAAUCAAGAUCAAAAGGGCCGGCUUGCAAGUGAACUCACCUGGAGCAGACAUGGAGCCUCCCUUGUGCCGUCCCCUUGCUCAGGUGGAAUAUCUAGAGCCCCACGAGGCCGACACAGAUGCUCCGGCUCCACGACCAGAACACCAUGGGCCUGCUCUGCAGCCGGAGCCAGCCCCAGAGGGAGAGCCUCCUCUGGAGACAGGAGAGAAGCAGAAGCCAGCUCCACAGCACUCCUGCCUCUCUGCUGCCGCUGACAAGGACAGGUCCUUGCAGAAGGUGCUCUUAGAAUUCUCUCGCGGGGGGUGGGGGGAGCGCCUGUGUUUGUUGGGUGUAAAAUC
rnacentral:lncRNA from 1 species